CGCCGACGCCGAGAGACCAGCCCAGCGCCGACGACCCCAACGCUGACAAGGCCGAACCCAUACCCAACGCCGCCGAGCCCAUCGCCGAGAAGGCUGGUUCACAAGGCUGUCGGUGGUAAAAAGCGCAAACGAGUGAUCCUAGAAGUGGUUUUGCUACUGUUGAGAAGGACUUCCCUGGGGGCUUGACACCAAUGCUUGGUGAUAGAAAGGUUGAGCACUUCUUCGGGAUAAAGCAAAUAGCUGAUCUGGAUUUGUGCUAUAGACUGUAAAUAAACCUUUUUUCUUUUCUUAUUACAGAAAAGAGCUAUUGUUUAAAGAAAUUUUGCUCUUUGUUUAUACUACACUUUACUUGAGCAGGGUUGCAUUCUGUGUGUGUGUUAAACAACAUGCUGAAUCAACUGGAUUUUACCGUCAACAGCUCAAGUCAGAUGUGAAAAAUCCAUAUUAUUGAUUAAUUCCUUGGCCUGAACCCACAUUCUUUGCACUUGAGACUUUGGGAGAUACCUAUAAGUGGG